GAGACACCCUUCUGGGGAAAAACUUGCUUCAGUGGGGCUUUGGUGCUCACUGAGUCUGCCCCCUGAGUGUGUCCCU
rfam:Myotis lucifugus cont2.10530, whole genome shotgun sequence.